CAAGGAUCUGCCACUUUGCCUUGAUGUUGCAGUGUCUGGUGGAGACAUCUGGAACCACUGUGGCCAUGUUACUGCCAGGCUGAGGAUGAAAUUAACACUGAGACAGGGAGGAUGGCUGGAAGGAGCCCACUCUGGUGGCAAUGCUCAGUUACCGCAGUGCCAGUCCUGGAGCCUGACCUACCCAUGGGGUUUCUAAUACGAAAGAGAAGCCAGCUCUAUAAUUUCACAAAGUCUCCCCACCUUACUCAUCUCGAGUAGUGACCACCGUGAAUGGUCCCACCGCCAGCCUCUUGGGAGGCAGCCGGGGAAAGCACUCCAUCCUGGGACUUAGGAGCAUGAACUCUGGAGAAACACAGACCUGUGUUCAAAUCCGAGUCCACUGCGUCCUCACAAUGUGAUCUUGGGACACAGAUCCAAUGUGCACAGCAAGGCAUUCAAAUAGCACAAAGGCUAGAUCCUCCAAAGGAAUUUCACCUUCAGCUCUGACUCCCAGUUCCCCAGUUUACCUGUCUGGAGCCACCAUUUAGAAGCUUAUGUAUAUAAAGGUAUGCAGAAGCAGUCCAGGCAGUACAAUCAGCCAAAACUGAUUAUGAAUUCUGGUUAUACAGCUUCCCAGCUGGGGAACCUUGAGCAAUUCAUCCACCUCUCUGGGCCCCGGUUAUGAAUAAAAUAUAAAAGAAAAUGCAGGCCACAUGAGUUUUGCAGAGCAGACGUAGAAAGCAGAGAAUGAAAAAAAGAAAAAGAGGAGAGAUCUGAAGCCAGAAUGGGCGUCAUGCAAGAGGCUCUAGAGUUGCAGACAGUUGCAGCCCAGAUACGACGUGCAAAGAGAGACAUCCCAGAUCUCCCACACAGAACUCCGGCGCGCUUUGAAGUGUUGACAACACAUAAAAUUAAAAGCAUCACAAUGCGAAUUAUCACGUUGUUUUUUCCACUUUGAUAGCCUCUACAAAGCAUUUUAUACCGAUGAAUCAAUACAAAUGUCUCUUUAUAAAGACAUUGGAAACAAAAAGAUACAUUUUUUUUUUUCCUUAAGAGAAACCGACACAACUAACAAAAAGAUUUCAGCCCUGGCUUGCAGGAUAGCUCUAGGUAACAUAGUGAGUUUGUCUCUCCUUUUCACAGUGGCCUUGGAGGUCACUGCUGUCUACUUGCUUGGGUCAAUCAUUCAGCCUCCGGAUGAAUGUUCUGCCUGCUGAUUAGUCAGCACCAUGAGAUGAGACAAACAAGCCACAAUUGCAUUGCUAUUGCCUCCUGACUGCACACACAUGUGUGUGCACAUGUAUAAGAAUAUAUACAGUGUGUGUAAAUAUAUAGAGGCGUGUGUGUGUGUGUGUGUGUAUUUUGUGGUUUGGUAAAAUAAAGCUUGCAAAUUAGGAUUAAUUUAUAACUCGUUAUAAUUGGAUUAUUGGCUGGGACUCCCUUUAUGUUACAGCAGAUGGACUUUUGCGUGAAAUAUUUUCCCUGAGUUGCUAUAGAGAUGUGCCAAGAUCUCUCUGCUGAAGUGAUUCCCCGCAGGCCUGUUUGUUGUUGUGCCCGGUGCCGAAUCACUUGCAGGCUGAAUCACUUACAGCCCUCACAGAGGCUGAUGAAAGAG
rnacentral:lncRNA from 1 species